rnacentral:pre_miRNA from 1 species
UGAAGACAGUUCUCAGCCAGGGCAGUAACAGGUACCCAAUUCGAGUGGUGUAGGAGCAUCUGAUGAACCAACAUCCGCAGUUUUGUUUCGCCACUGUUCCUAUCAAGCUCUUCGUCAUGUUUAUGCGUUAUCCUGAUCCAGUACCCUCCUAAAUGACUAUCAUCCUUCCUGAUGUCUAUCAUUCUCACAGCCUAGCUUUCUACUCCCGGAUGCGUGAUUCGUUGGAUGACAGAAAGGCGAUCUGAAUCUAGGAUGAUCCCGUGGAAUCCUUCUUCCUUUGCUAAGAACAGGGUUAAUUUGGCGCACUGCCACUGCCUCAGCAACUUCUGGCACUCUGAUCCCUGAGACAAGCUCAUUGGAUACAA